UACCAGCACCCCGAGUGGUCGGGACGUUUAUUGGGCCUAAAGCAUCCGUAGCCGGUUCUACAAGUCUUCCGUUAAAUCCAACUGCUUAUCAGGUGGGCUGCGGAAGAUACUAUAGAGCUAGGAGGCGGGAGAGGCAAGCGGUACUCGAUGGGUAGGGGUAAAAUCCGUUGAUCCAAUGAAGACCACCAGUGGCGAAGGCGGCUUGCCAGAACGCGCUCGACGGUGAGGGAUGAAAGCUGGGGGAGCAAACCGG
rnacentral:rRNA from 1 species